rnacentral:tRNA from 1 species
UCAUGGUGGUUCAGAUGGUAAAGAAUCUGCCUACAAUGCAGGAGACCCAGGUUCGAUCCCUGGGUCAGGAA